rnacentral:rRNA from 1 species
UAACGACUCUCGACAACGGAUAUCUCGGCUCUCGCAUCGAUGAAGAACGUAGCGAAAUGUGAUACUUGGUGUGAAUUGCAGAAUCCCGUGAACCAUCGAGUCUUUGAACGCAAGUUGCGCCCGAAGCCAGUAGGCCGAGGGCACGUCUGCCUGGGCGUCUCACA